rnacentral:rRNA from 1 species
AAAUUGAAGAGUUUGAUCAUGGCUCAGAUUGAACGCUGGCGGCAGGCCUAACACAUGCAAGUCGAACGGUAACAGGAAACAGCUUGCUGUUUCGCUGACGAGUGGCGGACGGGUGAGUAAUGUCUGGGAAACUGCCUGAUGGAGGGGGAUAACUACUGGAAACGGUAGCUAAUACCGCAUAACGUCGCAAGACCAAAGAGGGGGACCUUCGGGCCUCUUGCCAUCGGAUGUGCCCAGAUGGGAUUAGCUAGUAGGUGGGGUAACGGCUCACCUAGGCGACGAUCCCUAGCUGGUCUGAGAGGAUGACCAGCCACACUGGAACUGAGACACGGUCCAGACUCCUACGGGAGGCAGCAGUGGGGAAUAUUGCACAAUGGGCGCAAGCCUGAUGCAGCCAUGCCGCGUGUAUGAAGAAGGCCUUCGGGUUGUAAAGUACUUUCAGCGGGGAGGAAGGGAGUAAAGUUAAUACCUUUGCUCAUUGACGUUACCCGCAGAAGAAGCACCGGCUAACUCCGUGCCAGCAGCCGCGGUAAUACGGAGGGUGCAAGCGUUAAUCGGAAUUACUGGGCGUAAAGCGCACGCAGGCGGUUUGUUAAGUCAGAUGUGAAAUCCCCGGGCUCAACCUGGGAACUGCAUCUGAUACUGGCAAGCUUGAGUCUCGUAGAGGGGGGUAGAAUUCCAGGUGUAGCGGUGAAAUGCGUAGAGAUCUGGAGGAAUACCGGUGGCGAAGGCGGCCCCCUGGACGAAGACUGACGCUCAGGUGCGAAAGCGUGGGGAGCAAACAGGAUUAGAUACCCUGGUAGUCCACGCCGUAAACGAUGUCGACUUGGAGGUUGUGCCCUUGAGGCGUGGCUUCCGGAGCUAACGCGUUAAGUCGACCGCCUGGGGAGUACGGCCGCAAGGUUAAAACUCAAAUGAAUUGACGGGGCCCGCACAAGCGGUGGAGCAUGUGGUUUAAUUCGAUGCAACGCGAAGAACCUUACCUGGUCUUGACAUCCACGGAAGUUUUCAGAGAUGAGAAUGUGCCUUCGGGAACCGUGAGACAGGUGCUGCAUGGCUGUCGUCAGCUCGUGUUGUGAAAUGUUGGGUUAAGUCCCGCAACGAGCGCAACCCUUAUCCUUUGUUGCCAGCGGUCCGGCCGGGAACUCAAAGGAGACUGCCAGUGAUAAACUGGAGGAAGGUGGGGAUGACGUCAAGUCAUCAUGGCCCUUACGACCAGGGCUACACACGUGCUACAAUGGCGCAUACAAAGAGAAGCGACCUCGCGAGAGCAAGCGGACCUCAUAAAGUGCGUCGUAGUCCGGAUUGGAGUCUGCAACUCGACUCCAUGAAGUCGGAAUCGCUAGUAAUCGUGGAUCAGAAUGCCACGGUGAAUACGUUCCCGGGCCUUGUACACACCGCCCGUCACACCAUGGGAGUGGGUUGCAAAAGAAGUAGGUAGCUUAACCUUCGGGAGGGCGCUUACCACUUUGUGAUUCAUGACUGGGGUGAAGUCGUAACAAGGUAACCGUAGGGGAACCUGCGGUUGGAUCACCUCCUUA